GACAGAGGGGGCAAGCGUUGCUCGGAAUUACUGGGCGUAAAGGGCGCGUAGGCGGGAUGGCAAGUCGGUCGUGAAAUCCCUCGGCUCAACCGAGGAACGUCGAUCGAUACUGCUGUUCUUGAGGAUUGCAGAGGAGACUGGAAUUCCCGGUGUAGCGGUGAAAUGUGUAGAGAUCGGGAGGAACAUCGGUGGCGAAGGCGGGUCUCUGGGCAUUAACUGACGCUGAGGAGCGAAAGCAUGGGGAGCGAACAGG
rnacentral:rRNA from 1 species